CUCUCACUCACACACUCUGUCUCACACACACACACUCUCUCUCACACACACAUCACACACACACACACACUCACACACACACUCUCUCUCACACACAUUCACACACAGACAUACACACACUCUCAGACUCACACACACACACAUCACACACUCACUCUCACACACACACUCUCUCUCACACACACACACUCUCUCACACACACAUACACACUCUCUCUCACACACACUCACACACACAUCACACACACACUCAGACACACACACAUAUCACACACACUGUCUCACUCACACACUCUCUUUCUCACACACACAUCACACACACACACACACAUCACACACACACACUUACACUCACACACACAUACUCACACUCACACACACACACUCACACACUCUCUCUGGCGCUGACUAUUUAGGUAAACGAUAUUUCACACCUGAUCUCUGGCCAUAACCAAACGCCCACUCAUUACCUCUGCCAGUAAAUAAAAUAGCAAUCUGAAAUUAUUCUGAAGGUCACUUGCUUCCUCCUCACAGUUUAUCACCGGCCUGUCUCUUCCUCUGCAGGUCACCUCUCAUCCUCCGUCGCUCCAAGGAGAAAAGGCCGAGUUCACUCAACCUAUUCUCAUAAGGCAUGCUCCCCAAUCCAGGCAACGUAAAUCUCCUGCCAUGGACCUGAUCUGAGACAUCCCUGACCCUGGCACCAGGGAGGCAACAUACCGUCCGGAUGUCCUGUUGUGCCCGCAGAGUCUCGUCUCCGUCCCUCUGACUGCAGAAUCUCCCAUCAACACUUCGCUUCUCUUCUCUUCUGAGCCACAGCACCAGAUGCAGUGCCAGAAACCUGGUCACUGCGACUCUCCCCAGGCCCAGCCAGCCCCCACUGCUGAGGACACCUUCAAUAGGUAACACCUCAAGAAGUUUGUAUCCAUCAUUAAAGACCCUCAUCAUCCAGAACAAGCUCUCUUCUUGUUGCUACGGAGGUACAGGAGCCUGAAGACACACACUCAACAUUUUCAGGAACAGCUUCUUCCCCUCUGCCAGCAGAUUUCUGAAUGGACAAUGAACCCAUGAACACGGUCUCAAGAUUUUUCUCUCUUAUUUUCACACUGUUUAUUUAUUUGUAUAUUUCUUAUUAUGACUUAUAAUACUUUUUGUAUUACGCUGUACUGUUGCCACAGGACAACAAAUUUCACCACAUUCCUCAGUGCUAAUA